AUGUGACAUUCACCGGUGAAAGUCGACAUUCUCUUGAUUUCGGACCUUCACGGUAACAUAUAUGAAAAAUAUCUCUGAUCCUUGAAAAAGAAGUGGUAGUAUAUGUUUGUUAGCUUAUAGUAGAUACUAUUUAUUUCUGUGACAUAUCACUUUAAAGAAAGCAAUAUCUUUUUUUUCCACAUACAUUCGCAAGGCGGCUUAUAAGCCCUUGUCAUGUUGAAGAACAGAUCGCACAAAUUACAGAAGUGCAUAGCAGACAUGCACCCAGAGUUACGGUGAGAUUUGAACCCACUAAUUCUAUACUACAAAGCAUUUUUGACUGAUAAGCGAUACCCUUCGGGCAGAAGGGUCCUAGCAAUUUUCGUUUAUUUACUUUUUGUUACACAUACAUGCGCGGUCUUGUCUUCACGUUACAAUUCAUGACUCAGAAGCUCUUAAGUUGAAGAAUAGACACACUUUAGAGAAGUAUAUUCAACAAUGCAACCGGCGUUAUGUUGGGAUUCGAACUCGCUACAGAGCAUUUGACGAAUUAGCAAGACCUUUUGACUAUCUUAUUUCUUCAAAAUUAAUCCUAAUAAUUAAACUCUUGUGCUACCACUAAUUUUAUAUACAUAUAUAAAAAACGAGCCUUCAAUAGGAUGCUGGACUCAAAUCUGUUAAAGUGUAAAUAAAAACAUAUCUAAUAUAUGGUCAUACUUUUAGUUUUGUAGUUAGUUUUUAUUUCUUCCCCAUAAUUGUUUCCACCCUGUCAUUAAACACCCACCACCAGCAAAUGAGGUUGAAUGUAAAUGAAAACAUAGUGCUGAUGAAUCAAAACAUAUAGUUCUUAGUUUUGAGUUUUUUUCUUCUUUAGCUUUAGUGUUAGCUUGUGUUAGAAUACAGUCAUUAAAUAAUAGCUUUAGUUAACAAUAAUACUAUAACAUUGCUAUGCUCAUGCUUGCCCAACUAACAUAGCUUCUGUUUUACUAACCCUUACCUAGGUCCUGCUACAACACAAAAAUCAGGUGGACGCAGACCAGAUUCAUACUACUUUUAUCCCAUUCAAGCAACCACAGACUCUUCUAGAAGUGGUGUAGAAGCUGUACCUAUCCAAUAAAAGAAUUGGUUAAUGAACAUUUUGGAAUGCGAAGGAAAAUUUCUUUCGAAAUGUGAUUGUAUAUUGUAUUGCAUUUAAUAAGAAUUAAAUGUUUUAUUUUGUGAUGAUUGAACUAUGUAUUAUUUUAUGCUAAUACAUAUUUUUAUGAUGAAUUAUAAAUGUAUUAUUUUUUAUGUUAAUAAACAGAACUUUUAAUCGUAUAAA